rnacentral:piRNA from 1 species
UACCAGGUGGACAAUGAGGAGAAGCUGA